rnacentral:rRNA from 1 species
CCUACGGGAGGCAGCAGUAAGGAAUAUUGGACAAUGGGCGAAAGCCUGAUCCAGCCAUGCCGCGUGAAGGAUUAAGGUCCUCUGGAUUGUAAACUUCUUUUAUGUGGGACGAAAAAAGGGCAUUCUUGCUCACUUGACGGUACCAUUUGAAUAAGCACCGGCUAACUCCGUGCCAGCAGCCGCGGUAAUACGGAGGGUGCAAGCGUUAUCCGGAUUCACUGGGUUUAAAGGGUGCGUAGGCGGGUAGGUAAGUCAGUGGUGAAAUCUCGAAGCUUAACUUCGAAACUGCCAUUGAUACUAUCUAUCUUGAAUAUUGUGGAGGUUUGCGGAAUAUGUCAUGUAGCGGUGAAAUGCUUAGAUAUGACAUAGAACACCGAUUGCGAAGGCAGCAGGCUACACAUAUAUUGACGCUGAGGCACGAAAGCGUGGGGAUCAAACAGGAUUAGAUACCCUGGUAGUCCACGCCCUAAACGAUGAUUACUCGACAUACGCGAUACACUGUGUGUGUCUGAGCGAAAGCAUUAAGUAAUCCACCUGGGAAGUACGUCCGCAGGAUGAAACUCAAAUGAAUUGACGG